rnacentral:lncRNA from 1 species
AUAUAUAUAUUCCUUUCCUUGCCUAGUUUAUCACAACCUCUGAGGAUGCCUGCCAUAGAUGUUGGCCGAAACGUCAGGAGAGAAUGCUUCUUUGAGCCAGACAGCACGGGAAAACUCACAGCAACCCAGUGGUUCCAGCCAUGAAAGAAUUCGACAAGACAUUGUAAUAUGAUUCGGGGAGAAGGGAAAGGAGGCUUUGUUGGCGUUGGCAGGGGGUGAUGGGUUGGGUGGUAGCCUUUCCGAGGGAGACUCAGAAGCUUCUCUGCUGAUCCUUCGGGGAGACUGGGCUUCCAGGAUCCCCAGUAUGUAAAAUUGUCUGGAUUGGGCUCCACUAAGGUUCCCUGAGACCCGCACAUCUCGGAGCCUUGAGGGGUCUCCCAAAAAAAAAAAAACCCUAAGAAGGAGCACAUUCCACACAGGCAACUUUCUGAAGCAUCUCGGAGCCAGAAAGGCUCGGAAAGCAGCCUCUAAACCUUGGAGCCUACUUGCCUCUGAUCCUUGGGGGUCUCACCUACACUGCCAUAGAAUCCCAAAGAUAUGCAUCAUGGCAUACUUGCAGCGGGUCGGAGCCAGAAAGGCUCGGAAAGCAGCCUCUAAAACCUUGGAGCCUACUUGCCUCUGAUCCUUGGGGGUCUCAUCUACACUGCCAUAGGAUCCCAACGAUCUGGAUACGUGCCUCAUGGCAUACUUGCAGUCAGGCUUCGACGCUGCAAGGCUAUUUAAUGUCAAUGGCAUUAUUUCCCCUUCCUCGAGGAAGGCAUCCUCUCCCUUCGGGCGAGAAAGAACCGCCGCUCUUGCCUUACCUCAUCGGAGGUCCGCCAGCCCGAAGGAAGGGAAGAAGGAGCUCCGCGGGAACAAUGAAAAAACCCACAACAAUCCCAAACCGGGGCGUCUCAAAGCAACAAUCCACGGCCGUUUCGUCGCUCCAUGGCCUGUUCCCAGGGGUAUUUGGGAAUGCUGAUUCAGAAAAUAGCAUUGGAUAGAACACAUCAGCUAUUACUAUUACUGAUAAUAACACAGCCCAAGCAAAAAUAAUUUUAUACGUCACAACCUCUGAGGAUGCCUGCCAUAGAUGUGGGCAAAACGUCAGGAGACAAUACUUCUGGAAAAUUGCCGUACAUCUCGGAAAACACACAACAACCCUGUGAUUCCGGCCCUACAAGCACCAGAUCCCAUCUGAUCCUGGAAGCUAAGCAGCAGCAACACUGGCUAGUAUUUGAAUAAGAUACCACCAAUGCAG